rnacentral:misc_RNA from 1 species
GCCGUCAAUUCAUUUGAGUUUUAAUCUUGCGACCGUACUCCCCAGGCGGUCAACUUAUCGCGUUAGCUACGCCACUAAUCAUAUUCAUAUGACCAAUAGCCAGUUGACAUCGUUUACGGCGUGGACUACCAGGGUAUCUAAUCCUGUUUGCUCCCCACGCUUUCGUGCCUCAGUGUCAGUAUCAGGCCAGGUAGCCGCCUUCGCCACUGGUGUUCCUUCCGAUCUCUAC